CAGAGGAGCUGUGGGUCUUCCCCACACCAUGAUGUACAGCCCCGGUCUGUCCCUGCUGGCGCACAUUGAACCAGCAUAAAGACCCUGCCUCAGCCUUCAUUCGAGAGAUACGCUGAUGGUGAACAGAAGGCUGAGGCAACACAAACCUAAGAGACACUAAAGUUAAGCAACUAGAGCCGCACUGAGACGUUACCAUGUUUCUUUAAGUUGUGGUGAUGAUAGUGGUGUUGAUAGAGGGCAUUUUUCCUAAUAAAAGGUGCAGCCAUGCCCACAGUCACAAUAUAUUUAAGUAAGUGCAAACACAAAGGACGAUAUCACGAUUAUUAAAAUGAUUGAGGUCAUGGCCAUUUAAUGAGCGAUAAGUCGAUAAUGUAGUUAUUGUGACAGGCCUAUCGUUAUUCUAAUAUGAGUUUUCAGAAUGAACACAUUAAAAGAGCUGCAAUAAUAUUGUAAAUAACAGCAAACUCAAACUGUGUAUUAUCUGUGUGCUGCAACACAGGGGGGUUCACUCUACAGACUGAAAGCUUGUAUAACGUAACUGAGCUGGAGUAGAUUGAGAUAGAGUGAGGCAAAGUGAGGUACAGUGAGGUAGAUUGAGGCAGAGGGAGGUACAGUGAUGUAGAGUGAGGUAGAUUGAGGUAGAGUGAGGCAGAGGGAGGUACAGUGAUGUAGAGUGAGGUAGAUCGAGUUAAUAUGAGGCAGAGGGAGGUACAGUGAUGUAGAGUGAGGUAGAUCGAGUUAAUAUGAGGCAGAGGGAGGUACAGUGAUGUAGAGUGAGGUAGAUUAAGCUAAAGUGAGGCAGAGUGAGGUACAGCGAGGUAGAGUGAGGCAGAGGGAGGUACAGUGAUGUAGAGUGAGGUAGAUUAAGCUAAAGUGAGGCAGAGUGAGGUACACCGAGGUAGAUUGAGGUAAAGUGAGGCAGAGGGAGGUACAGUGAUGUAGAGUGAGGCAAAGUGAGGUACAGCGAGGUAGAAUGAGGUACAGAUAGGCAGACUGAGGUAGAGUGAGGUCAAAAGAGGUAGAGUGAGGUAGACCAAGGUAGAGUGAGGUAGAGCAGAAGUUAUCACAUCAGAUUUUUGUCCAUAUCUUAAACCCGUUUAUAGAGUUCAUGCACGUAUUUAUAGAGUGUGAAUCAGAUUCCUUGAAACCCUGAGAACAGUUCCGCAGGAUUACUCACAGCAGCAGAGGUGUUUCCUAGAGACAUGAUAGCCUUUUACCUUCAUAGUGUUUUACAGUGUUUACAGGUUAUUACAGUCAGGAGUCACGGCAGCACUGAUACAGCGCGCUGUUUUUUUUCUUUCUGUGAAAGUUGGCCUCGGCCUGGUCCUCCUCAGCCAGAGCAGCACAGCGGGUUUAUAGUGUGUCUCAGGAUAUUCCUGCUUCCCCCGUGUUGUGGUUGUAGGUCCCCUGACAGACUGAGCUGAACUGUUAUGUCAAACAGGCCUGGAUUCUUUCCACUUGGCUUCCGUUGGCUCCAUGCUGGUCCAUUCUAUUGCUGGUGUGAAGAACACGGUGUUAGAUACUUUUCAGUUGUUUGCGCAAAGAAACUUGGACAUUUACUGUUACUCUAACUAAGGCUAUCAUGAGUUUUUAUGAUAAACAUUUUAAAAGUGCUACGAUAAUAUCAGGAAUAACAGAAACUCAUUUCUGUCAAAGCGGGGUAGAGUGAGGCAGAAUGGGAUAAAUUGAGGUAAAGAGAAGGAAGAACUAGGUAAAGUGAGACAAAGCAAGGUAGAGAGAGGUAGAGCGAGUCAGAGUGAGGCAAAGUGAGGUAGGAAGAGCUAGAGUCAGGUAGAGUGAAGUAGAUAGAUCUAGACAGAGACAGAGUGAAGUAAAGCAAGGUAGAGUGAGUCAGAGUGAGGUACAGAGAGAUAGAGCGAGGCAGAAUGGGGUAAAGUAAGGUAGAGAGGGUUAGAUCCAGGCCAAGUGGGGUAGAGUGACAGGUAGUACUAGGCAGAUUAAGGUAAAGUGAGGUACAGAGAUAUAAAGCAAGGCAGAGUGAGGUAGAAAGAGCUAGAGUGAGGCAGAAUGAGGUAAAGCGAGAUACAGAGAGAUUCAGUGAGGAAGAAUGAGGUAAAGUACGAUAGAGAGGAGUAGAGCAAGGCCAAGGUGAAGGUGGAGAGACGUAGAAUGAGUCAGAGUAAGGUAAAGAGAGGUAGAGAGAGUUAGAAUGAGACAGAGUGAGGUAAAGAGAGGUAGAGAGAGUUAGAAUGAGACAGAGUGAGGUAAAGAGAGGUAGAGAGAGUUAGAAUGAGACAGAGUGAGGUAAAGAGAGGUAGAGAGAGUUAGAAUGAGGCAGAGUGAGGUAAAGAGAGGUAGAGAGAGUUAGAAUGAGACAGAGUGAGGUAAAGAGAGGUAGAUAGAGUUAGAAUGAGGUAGAUUGAGGUAAAGAGAGGUAGAUAGAGUUAGAAUGAGGCAGAGUGAGGUAAAGAGAGGUAGAUAGAGUUAGAAUGAGGCAGAGUGAGGUAAAGAGAGGUAGAGAGAGUUAGAAUGAGGCAUAGAGAGGUAAAGAGAGGUAGAGAGAGUUAGAAUGAGGCAGAGUGAAGUAGAGAGAGUUAGAAUGAGGCAGAGUGAGGUAAAGAGAGGUAGAGAGAGUUAGAAUGAAGCAGAGUGAAGUAGAGAGAGUUAGAAUGAGGCAGAGUGAGGUAAAGAGAGGUAGAGAGAGUUAGAAUGAGGCAGAGUGAAGUAGAGAGAGUUAGAAUGAGGCAGAGUGAGGUAAAGAGAGGUAGAGAGAGUUAGAAUGAGGCAGAGUGAAGUAGAGAGAGUUAGAAUGAGGCAGAGUGGGGUAAAGUGAGGUAGAGAGAGUUAGAUUGAGGCAUAGAGAGGUAAAGAGAGGUAGAGAGAGUUAGAAUGAGACAGAGUGAGGUAAAGAGAGGUAGAUAGAGUUAGAAUGAGGUAGAUUGAGGUAAAGAGAGGUAGAUAGAGUUAGAAUGAGGCAGAGUGAGGUAAAGAGAGGUAGAUAGAGUUAGAAUGAGGCAGAGUGAGGUAAAGAGAGGUAGAUAGAGUUAGAAUGAGGCAGAGUGAGGUAAAGAGAGGUAGAGAGAGUUAGAAUGAAGCAGAGUGAGGUAAAGAGAGGUAGAGAGAGUUAGAAUGAAGCAGAGUGAGGUAAAGAGAGGUAGAGAGAGUUAGAAUGAAGCAGAGUGAGGUAAAGAGAGGUAGAGAGAGUUGGAAUGAUGCAGAGUAAGGGAAAGAGAGGUAGAGAGAGUUAGAAUGAAGCAGAGUGAAGUAGAGAGAGUUAGAAUGAGGCAGAGUGAGGUAAAGAGAGGUAGAGAGAGUUAGAAUGAGGCAUAGAGAGGUAAAGAGAGGUAGAGAGAGUUAGAAUGAGGCAGAGUGAAGUAGAGAGAGUUAGAAUGAGGCAGAGUGAGGUAAAGAGAGGUAGAGAGAGUUAGAAUGAAGCAGAGUGAAGUAGAGAGAGUUAGAAUGAGGCAGAGUGAGGUAAAGAGAGGUAGAGAGAGUUAGAAUGAGGCAGAGUGAAGUAGAGAGAGUUAGAAUGAGGCAGAGUGAGGUAAAGAGAGGUAGAGAGAGUUAGAAUGAGGCAGAGUGAAGUAGAGAGAGUUAGAAUGAGGCAGAGUGAGGUAAAGAGAGGUAGAGAGAGUUAGAAUGAGACAGAGUGAGGUAAAGAGAGGUAGAGAGAGUUAGAAUGAGGCAGAGUGAGGUAAAGAGAGGUAGAGAGAGUUAGAAUGAGACAGAGUGAGGUAAAGAGAGGUAGAGAGA